rnacentral:tRNA from 1 species
GGGUGUUUAGUUUAGUGGUAUGAUUCUUGCUUUGGGUGCAAGAGGUCAUUAGUUCGAUUUUUGCAACACCCU